AGAGUUCGAUUCUGGCUCAGGAUGAACGCUGGCGGCGUGCCUAAUACAUGCAAGUCGAACGCUUUGUAAAGGAGCUUGCUUCUUUACGAGGAGUGGCGAACGGGUGAGUAAUACAUAAGCAAUCUGCCCAUCGGCCUGGGAUAACAGUUGGAAACGACUGCUAAUACCGGAUAGGUUAGUUUCUGGCAUCAGGGACUAAUUAAAGUUGGGAUACAACACGGAUGGAUGAGCUUAUGGCGUAUUAGCUAGUAGGUGAGGUAACGGCCCACCUAGGCGAUGAUACGUAGCCGACCUGAGAGGGUGACCGGCCACAUUGGGACUGAGACACGGCCCAA
rnacentral:rRNA from 1 species